rnacentral:misc_RNA from 1 species
AACUUUUGGCAACGGAUCUCUUGGCUCUCUCAUCGAUGAAGAACGCAGCGAAAUGCGAUAAGUAAUGGGAAUUGCAGAAUUCAGUGAAUCAUCGAAUCUUUGAACGCACCUUGCGCCCCUUGGGUAUUCUUAGGGGCAUGCCUGUUUGAGUAUCAUGAACCCCUCAACUCCUCACGGUUUGCUGUGAUGAGCUUGGACUUCUGGAGGUUUUGCUGGCCUGUGGUCGGCUCCUCUCAAAUGGAUCAGCUUGCCAGUGUUUGGUGGCGUCAUGGGUGUGAUAAACUAUCUACGCUUGUGGCCGUCUGCCAGGUAACCUUCAGCAAUGGAGGUUCGCUGGAGCUCACAAAAGUCUUUCCUCGGUGAAGACAGCUUUUUGAACGUUCGAUCUCAAAUCAGGUAGGAUUACCCGCUGAACUUAAGCAUAUCAAUAAGCGGAGGCU